rnacentral:rRNA from 1 species
UUAAGCGACUAAGCGUACACGGUGGAUGCCCUGGCAGUCAGAGGCGAUGAAGGACGUGCUAAUCUGCGAUAAGCGUCGGUAAGGUGAUAUGAACCGUUAUAACCGGCGAUUUCCGAAUGGGGAAACCCAGUGUGUUUCGACACACUAUCAUUAACUGAAUCCAUAGGUUAAUGAGGCGAACCGGGGGAACUGAAACAUCUAAGUACCCCGAGGAAAAGAAAUCAACCGAGAUUCCCCCAGUAGCGGCGAGCGAACGGGGAGCAGCCCAGAGCCUGAAUCAGUGUGUGUGUUAGUGGAAGCGUCUGGAAAGGCGCGCGAUACAGGGUGACAGCCCCGUACACAAAAAUGCACAUGCUGUGAGCUCGAUGAGUAGGGCGGGACACGUGGUAUCCUGUCUGAAUAUGGGGGGACCAUCCUCCAAGGCUAAAUACUCCUGACUGACCGAUAGUGAACCAGUACCGUGAGGGAAAGGCGAAAAGAACCCCGGCGAGGGGAGUGAAAAAGAACCUGAAACCGUGUACGUACAAGCAGUGGGAGCACGCUUCGGCGUGUGACUGCGUACCUUUUGUAUAAUGGGUCAGCGACUUAUAUUCUGUAGCAAGGUUAACCGAAUAGGGGAGCCGAAGGGAAACCGAGUCUUAACUGGGCGUUAAGUUGCAGGGUAUAGACCCGAAACCCGGUGAUCUAGCCAUGGGCAGGUUGAAGGUUGGGUAACACUAACUGGAGGACCGAACCGACUAAUGUUGAAAAAUUAGCGGAUGACUUGUGGCUGGGGGUGAAAGGCCAAUCAAACCGGGAGAUAGCUGGUUCUCCCCGAAAGCUAUUUAGGUAGCGCCUCGUGAAUUCAUCUCCGGGGGUAGAGCACUGUUUCGGCAAGGGGGUCAUCCCGACUUACCAACCCGAUGCAAACUGCGAAUACCGGAGAAUGUUAUCACGGGAGACACACGGCGGGUGCUAACGUCCGUCGUGAAGAGGGAAACAACCCAGACCGCCAGCUAAGGUCCCAAAGUCAUGGUUAAGUGGGAAACGAUGUGGGAAGGCCCAGACAGCCAGGAUGUUGGCUUAGAAGCAGCCAUCAUUUAAAGAAAGCGUAAUAGCUCACUGGUCGAGUCGGCCUGCGCGGAAGAUGUAACGGGGCUAAACCAUGCACCGAAGCUGCGGCAGCGACGCUGAUGCGUUGUUGGGUAGGGGAGCGUUCUGUAAGCCUGCGAAGGUGUGCUGUGAGGCAUGCUGGAGGUAUCAGAAGUGCGAAUGCUGACAUAAGUAACGAUAAAGCGGGUGAAAAGCCCGCUCGCCGGAAGACCAAGGGUUCCUGUCCAACGUUAAUCGGGGCAGGGUGAGUCGACCCCUAAGGCGAGGCCGAAAGGCGUAGUCGAUGGGAAACAGGUUAAUAUUCCUGUACUUGGUGUUACUGCGAAGGGGGGACGGAGAAGGCUAUGUUGGCCGGGCGACGGUUGUCCCGGUUUAAGCGUGUAGGCUGGUUUUCCAGGCAAAUCCGGAAAAUCAAGGCUGAGGCGUGAUGACGAGGCACUACGGUGCUGAAGCAACAAAUGCCCUGCUUCCAGGAAAAGCCUCUAAGCAUCAGGUAACAUCAAAUCGUACCCCAAACCGACACAGGUGGUCAGGUAGAGAAUACCAAGGCGCUUGAGAGAACUCGGGUGAAGGAACUAGGCAAAAUGGUGCCGUAACUUCGGGAGAAGGCACGCUGAUAUGUAGGUGAAGUCCCUCGCGGAUGGAGCUGAAAUCAGUCGAAGAUACCAGCUGGCUGCAACUGUUUAUUAAAAACACAGCACUGUGCAAACACGAAAGUGGACGUAUACGGUGUGACGCCUGCCCGGUGCCGGAAGGUUAAUUGAUGGGGUCAGCGCAAGCGAAGCUCUUGAUCGAAGCCCCGGUAAACGGCGGCCGUAACUAUAACGGUCCUAAGGUAGCGAAAUUCCUUGUCGGGUAAGUUCCGACCUGCACGAAUGGCGUAAUGAUGGCCAGGCUGUCUCCACCCGAGACUCAGUGAAAUUGAACUCGCUGUGAAGAUGCAGUGUACCCGCGGCAAGACGGAAAGACCCCGUGAACCUUUACUAUAGCUUGACACUGAACAUUGAGCCUUGAUGUGUAGGAUAGGUGGGAGGCUUUGAAGUGUGGACGCCAGUCUGCAUGGAGCCGACCUUGAAAUACCACCCUUUAAUGUUUGAUGUUCUAACGUUGACCCGUAAUCCGGGUUGCGGACAGUGUCUGGUGGGUAGUUUGACUGGGGCGGUCUCCUCCUAAAGAGUAACGGAGGAGCACGAAGGUUGGCUAAUCCUGGUCGGACAUCAGGAGGUUAGUGCAAUGGCAUAAGCCAGCUUGACUGCGAGCGUGACGGCGCGAGCAGGUGCGAAAGCAGGUCAUAGUGAUCCGGUGGUUCUGAAUGGAAGGGCCAUCGCUCAACGGAUAAAAGGUACUCCGGGGAUAACAGGCUGAUACCGCCCAAGAGUUCAUAUCGACGGCGGUGUUUGGCACCUCGAUGUCGGCUCAUCACAUCCUGGGGCUGAAGUAGGUCCCAAGGGUAUGGCUGUUCGCCAUUUAAAGUGGUACGCGAGCUGGGUUUAGAACGUCGUGAGACAGUUCGGUCCCUAUCUGCCGUGGGCGCUGGAGAACUGAGGGGGGCUGCUCCUAGUACGAGAGGACCGGAGUGGACGCAUCACUGGUGUUCGGGUUGUCAUGCCAAUGGCACUGCCCGGUAGCUAAAUGCGGAAGAGAUAAGUGCUGAAAGCAUCUAAGCACGAAACUUGCCCCGAGAUGAGUUCUCCCUGACCCUUUAAGGGUCCUGAAGGAACGUUGAAGACGACGACGUUGAUAGGCCGGGUGUGUAAGCGCAGCGAUGCGUUGAGCUAACCGGUACUAAUGAACCGUGAGGCUUAACCUU